rnacentral:rRNA from 1 species
GUGGGGAAUAUUGGACAAUGGGCGAAAGCCUGAUCCAGCCAUGCCGCGUGUGUGAAGAAGGUCUUCGGAUUGUAAAGCACUUUAAGUUGGGAGGAAGGGCAGUAAGUUAAUACCUUGCUGUUUUGACGUUACCAACAGAAUAAGCACCGGCUAACUUCGUGCCAGCAGCCGCGGUAAUACGAAGGGUGCAAGCGUUAAUCGGAAUUACUGGGCGUAAAGCGCGCGUAGGUGGUUUUGUAAGUUGGAGGUGAAAUCCCCGGGCUCAACCUGGGAACUGCCUCCAAAACUGGAUGACUAGAGUACGGUAGAGGGUAGUGGAAUUUCCUGUGUAGCGGUGAAAUGCGUAGAUAUAGGAAGGAACACCAGUGGCGAAGGCGACUACCUGGACUGAUACUGACACUGAGGUGCGAAAGCGUGGGGAGCAAACAGGAUUAGAUACCCCAGUAGUCC